rnacentral:lncRNA from 1 species
AGGCCACCCUGCAAGGAGAAUUUACCAGCGGUUUCCUACGUGUUUACAAACGAUACCGCAGCUCCCGACUUACAAUCAGCUCGCCGCAAAGCUGAAGCUGUGCGCACCGCUAUUUAUACGGCCGUGUGCUGGGCAAAUCCUUGGGGACGGGGCCGAAAGCUCUCCCUCCAAGCCCUCCGUGGCUGCUUUUGCUGCCAGGCCGGCCGAGGAGGCGAUCCCGGUCUCCCGGUGCCCCCUCGCAGCCCUCCCGCUCUACUGGGAGCCUUCCCCGAGGAUUUAGGGUUAGGGGCAAACGGGGCGCGGGGCUGCCCGGGGCCGGCACAGCUCGGGUCGUGCCGCCACUUGUGCUUGCCAAGGUUCGCCUCCCGGUUCUCCUUUGCCCCAAAAAGCACGGCUCCCCCCUCCCUAAAAAAAAAAAAGUCCUUUUAUUUUCCGUCCCCCUCCGGAGGGAGCAGCGGGAUGCCGCCGGUGCCGUGCCCUCUGAGAGCGUGGGUUUGGGGACAGCCGGGCAGAGCUAGGGCCGAGGGAUGGUCAGCACGGUGUAACCAGCAGAUCUUCCAGCAAAAGACAGGUACGGUCCUGCAGGCAGGUGAGGCAAGGCGUGGAAUUCCCUUCUUGCCAGAGCAGCAGAGAAAGCCCUGAAGAGCCCCAGCGACAGCUCCUUCUGCUGCCUGUAAUUAUUUGAGGAAGUGAAAGAUGGUGACUCAUGGCUCGGAGGGCAGCAAGAGCACAGCUAUGACACCAAUGCACGGCCGUGGAUUAGAAGGUGGAUAGUCACAAGAACGUGUUACUUCGCACAGACAGUUAUAUAUUACAUCACUUGUAAAAAUGGAUCAAGUGUGUUUUACUAGCACUGCUAUUCCUGCAUUCAAUGCAUCCAGUGAAGAGCUUGGCACUCAGAGUGUUGGGUCUGGAAACUUUGCAAAGUUUUGCUCCAGUCACUCUUUAAAGUCACAGUCCUCAUUCCUACAUCUCUGCUCUUUGUCAAGCUUUUUUACUGUCACACCGUGGUGUUUUGUUUGGCACAAGCUGGUUUGGCAGGAGCACUUUCCCCUUGUCUCCACCUGGUCCCUACUUACCUGAACACAGCUGCACGAGGCUCCCUCGGACAUGCAGGGCAUUACCUCGUUGUCUUAAUUGCAAAUAAAUGAGUGGGUGUGUUACUGUCUGAGAGCA